rnacentral:misc_RNA from 1 species
GAUGAAGAACGUAGCGAAAUGCGAUAAGUAAUGUGAAUUGCAGAAUUCAGUGAAUCAUCGAAUCUUUGAACGCACCUUGCGCUCUUUGGUAUUCCGAAGAGCAUGCCUGUUUGAGUGUCAUGAAAAUAUCAACCUUGACUUGGGUUUUGUGCUCUAGUCUCGGCUUGGAAUUGGGUGCUUGCCGCUUUUACGAGCGGCUCACCUUAAAUGUAUUAGCUGGAUCUGUCUUUGAGACUUGGUUUGACUUGGCGUAAUAAGUAUUUCGCUAAGGACAUUCUUCGGAGUGGCCUCGUUUCUAGGACGCUUGUCCGCUUUCCAAUACAAGUUCCACCUCGUGGACAUGACUUUUUAUUAUCUGGCCUCAAAUCAGGUAGGACUACCCGCUGAACUUAAGCAUAUCACUAAGCGGAGGA